GAUCAUGGCUCAGGAUGAACGCUGGCGGCGUGCUUAACACAUGCAAGUCGAGCGAAGCGCUUAAGUUUGAUUCUUCGGAUGAAGACUUUUGUGACUGAGCGGCGGACGGGUGAGUAACGUGUGGGUAACCUGCCUCAUACAGGGGGAUAACAGUUAGAAAUGACUGCUAAUACCGCAUAAGACCACGGUACCGCAUGGUACAGUGGUAAAAACUCCGGUGGUAUGAGAUGGACCCGCGU
rnacentral:rRNA from 1 species